AAAGGAAUAGACGGGGGCCCGCACAAGCGGUGGAGCAUGUGGUUUAAUUCGACGCAACGCGAAGAACCUUACCAAGGCUUGACAUCCCUCUGACAGGAUUUUAACCGAUCCCUUUCUUCGGAACAGAGGAGACAGGUGGUGCAUGGUUGUCGUCAGCUCGUGUCGUGAGAUGUUGGGUUAAGUCCCGCAACGAGCGCAACCCCUACAUCUAGUUGCUACUAUUAAGUUAAGCACUCUAGAAGGACUGCCGGUGAUAAACCGGAGGAAGGUGGGGACGACGUCAAAUCAUCAUGCCCCUUAUGUCUUGGGCUACACACGUGCUACAAUGGGCAGUACAAAGGGUCGCGAAGCCGCGAGGCGAAGCCAAUCCCAUAAAGCUGCUCUCAGUUCGGAUUGCAGGCUGCAACUCGCCUGCAUGAAGUAGGAAUCGCUAGUAAUCGCAGGUCAGCAUACUGCGGUGAAUACGUUCCCGGGCCUUGUACACACCGCCCGU
rnacentral:rRNA from 1 species